rnacentral:rRNA from 1 species
CGAGUGGCGAACGGGUGAGUAAUGCAUCGGAACGUACCCGGGAGUGGGGGAUAACCGUCCGAAAGGCUGGCUAAUACCGCAUGAACUCGGAAGAGCAAAGCGGGGGACCUUCGGGCCUCGCGCUCUUGGAGCGGCCGAUGUCCGAUUAGCUAGUUGGUGAGGUAAAGGCUCACCAAGGCGA